UGUGUAGGUGGCGCCGUAAGUGGGGUGUGAAAUCUCGGGGCUUAACUCCGAAACUGCAUUCCAUACUGCGGUGCUUGAGGACUGGAGAGGAGACUGGAAUUCAUGGUGUAGCAGUGAAAUGCGUAGAGAUCAUGAGGAAGACCAGUGGCGAAGGCGGGUCUCUGGACAGUUCCUGACACUGAGACACGAAGGCCAGGGGAGCAAACG
rnacentral:rRNA from 1 species